rnacentral:rRNA from 1 species
UGAGGAGCUUGCUCUUCAGAUCGAGUGGCGAACGGGUGAGUAACGCGUGAGGAACCUGCCUCAAAGAGGGGGACAACAGUUGGAAACGACUGCUAAUACCGCAUAAGCCCACAGCUCGGCAUCGAGCAGAGGGAAAAGGAGUGAUCCGCUUUGAGAUGGCCUCGCGUCCGAUUAGCUAGUUGGUGAGGUAACGGCCCACCAAGGCAACGAUCGGUAGCCGGACUGAGAGGUUGAACGGCCACAUUGGGACUGAGACACGGCCCAGACUCCUACGGGAGGCAGCAGUGGGGAAUAUUGCACAAUGGGGGAAACCCUGAUGCAGCGACGCCGCGUGGAGGAAGAAGGUCUUCGGAUUGUAAACUCCUGUUGUUGAGGAAGAUAAUGACGGUACUCAACAAGGAAGUGACGGCUAACUACGUGCCAGCAGCCGCGGUAAAACGUAGGUCACAAGCGUUGUCCGGAAUUACUGGGCGUAAAGGGAGCGCAGGCGGGAGAACAAGUUGGAAGUGAAAUCCAUGGGCUCAACCCAUGAACUGCUUUCAAAACUGUUUUUCUUGAGUAGUGCAGAGGUAGGCGGAAUUCCCGGUGUAGCGGUGGAAUGCGUAGAUAUCGGGAGGAACACCAGUGGCGAAGGCGGCCUACUGGGCACCAACUGACGCUGAGGCUCGAAAGUGUGGGUAGCAAACAGGAUUAGAUACCCUGGUAGUCCACACCGUAAACGAUGAUUACUAGGUGUUGGAGGAUUGACCCCUUCAGUGCCGCAGUUAACACAAUAAGUAAUCCACCUGGGGAGUACGACCGCAAGGUUGAAACUCAAAUGAAUUGACG